ACACCCGCCAGAAACCACCCGCAACCCCCUCGUGAAUCUCUCCCUAAUUCUCUCGUUUCCAAUCGCAACUCCAUCAACCUGAUGAGCUCUUCCACCUCGCACGCACAGCCCGGAGCCACCUCGUCUAGAUCCGCUCCCCAUCCCCCACAGCUACCUUCAUGUUCUCCUCGCUGUCUAGCAAGUGAGCAUCACGACCACCCCACCGGCCAGCUCUGCCCCCUGCUUCUCCAAACCACAUCUUGGUGCAGGGCGACACAGAGGCGCUACGCCAAACCACAUCUUGGUGCAGGGCAAGACGGAGGCGCUUUGCCAAAACACAACUUGGUGCAGGGCGAGACGGAGGCGCUGGAUAUUGGUGUAGGGGUGUGAAUAGAUCUGAGGAGUUGACCCGAGGGUAAUUAAGAAAUUUGAAGCAUGAGUGUAUGCCGAAGAGCCGAUAUGCCGCAGGCCAAUUGACUGGGCUGCCCUUUGUGUUCCUAUGCUUCGGUGGCAUAACUUUGUGCUCCUUUGUUGUUUUGAUAGAGCUUCAACUAAUCUCCUCAACAUAAGUUAUGCUUCCAUGCUUUUUUAUAUGCUCCCAAAGUUGAUGCUUCCACCUCGCACUAAUAAUGCAUCAUCUGUAUUUUUUUUCUAGCUUCGUACCAGUGUGCUUCGACUAUGUACUGAUUAUGCUACGGACAGCCAGAAAAAUGCUUCAAUCCGUCAUCUCA